AAAACUCGCCAGUCUUUUGGGUAUGAAACCCAUUUGGACAAGAGUAGUACUAGGAUGGGUGACCUCCUGGGAAGUCCUCGUGAAAGGGUUUCA
rfam:Triticum aestivum genome assembly, contig: Triticum_aestivum_CS42_TGACv1_scaffold_273083_3DS